rnacentral:lncRNA from 1 species
AGUUCCUUCCAGGAAGAAGACGUCAUCUAUAUGAAGCUCCCGGAGACUUUGCAUCUGUCCUAAGUGAAAAGCAUAGAAGCGGGAAUCCCGCUUGUUUUUCUGGGCUGAAGUAUACACUUCUGGGCUCAGGCUACUGAAGUGAAAUGUGCGAAGGUUCAUCAUCUUCUUGAGCAGAGGAACAAAUGCUUUCAUGCUUUCCCGACCCCAGUCACUGAACACGUCCAGCUCCUGGAUAGAGUCCAGUUGCACAGCACGAAGAAGCUUCAGGAUUGUAAAGACAGCUUUGGAAUUGAUCAUCACCUUCUCACAGCACAGGUGUACUGAAGCUUUUCUCUUCCUGGCCCAGUUCAAGAGACAGAGUUGUAAUUCAUCGCGGGUGACACAAGACUUACUCCAGGCUUCAAAACAAAGGUGCAUGAGGAUUGUCAAGAAUAAUAGCAGUGGAACUAUCUUAUGGCCCAAGCACCUUACCAUCUUCAUCCCACCCAUGAGGUCACCCAGGAGAUAUUUGGGAGACUCCACAAAACAGUUUCUCCCAUUUGAAGUGCCAAGGAAUUCGACCUCUGGCUCAGGGGCUUUCCUGCUGGCUUGUCUGUCCCCGGGGAGCACAGAGUCCUUGGUGCUGAUCUCAGUUCCAGUCACACAGCCCAGGCCAGCUGAAGACCCUCUCUUAAAAAUAAAGAAACGGCUGGGAAUGUAGAAAUUGCCUGCUCCAGCACUGUGACCAAGUUGGAGGCAAGAUUGGGUUAGGGGCUGAAAGUCUAUGAGAAAUGCAAGAUUGGCUCAAGGAUUGAAAAUCCAUCAAGAAGGCAAAAUUUGUUUAACAGCUGAAAAUUUAACUGGAAUGCAAAAUAUGGUUUGAUAUCUCAAAAACCAUGUAAUUGACAAAAAUCAAAGUAAUUCACUGUACUCAAAGGAAUAAAUACUAAGGAAGCAAAAGACCUCUACACUGAGAACUACAGCAUUCUGAAAAAAGAGAUCAAAGAGGAUAUAAGAAAAUGGAAAGAAAUCCCCUGUUCCUGGUUAGGAAGAACCAGAAUAGUGAAAAUGGCCAUACUUGCAAAACUGCUAUACAGAUUCAAUGCAAUCCCGAUUGAAAUCCCAACAGUAUAUUUCACAGAACUAGAGAAAACAAUCCAAAAAUUCAUUUGGAACCAGAAGAGACCUGGAAUAGCUAAAGCAAUUCUAGGCAACAGAGACAUGGCUGGGGGCAUCACAAUCCCCAACUUGAAACUAUACUACAAAGCCACUGUGAUAAAAACAGCAUGGUACUGGCAAAGAAACAGACCCAAGGAUUAAUGGAAUAGAUUAGAAGAUGCAGAAACAACUCCAGACAUACUCAGCUACCUCAUCUUUGACAAAGGAGCCAACCAUUCUCACUGGAGGAAAGAUAGCCUCUUUAAUAAAUGGUGUUGUAAAAACUAGAUAUC